rnacentral:rRNA from 1 species
GACGUAGGGGGCAAGCGUUGUCCGGAAUCAUUGGGCGUAAAGCGCGUGUAGGCGGCUCGGUAAGUCCGCUCUGAAAGUCCAGGGCUCAACCCUGGGAUGCGGGUGGAUACUGCCGAGCUCGAGUCCGGAAGAGGCGAGUGGAAUUCCUGGUGUAGCGGUGAAAUGCGACAGAUAUCAGGAGGAACACCAAUGGCGAAGGCAGCUCGCUGGGACGUGACUGACGCUGAGACGCGAAAGCGUGGGGAGCAAACAGG